AAUCGAAGCAGUGAACUUAAGCCCCAGUAAACGGCGGCCGUAACUAUAACGGUCCUAAGGUAGCGAAAUUCCUUGUCGGGUAAGUUCCGACCCGCCCGAAAGGCGUAACGAUUUGGGCACUGUCUCAACAACAGACUCGGUGAAAUUGUAAUUCCGGUGAAGAUGCCGGAUACCUGCGACAGGACGGAAAGACCCCCUGGAGCUUUACUGUAGCUUGACCUUGGGUCUUGGUCCUACACCUGU
rnacentral:rRNA from 1 species